UACGGAGGGUGCAAGCGUUGUUCGGAAUGAUUGGGCGUAAAGCGCACGUAGGCGGGUUUGAAAGUCGAUUGUGAAAGCCCCGAGCUUAACUCGGGAAUUGCAGUCGAAACUUCUUACCUUGAAUGCUCGAGAGGUUGGUAGAAUUCCAGGUGUAGAGGUGAAAUUCGUAGAGAUCUGGAGGAAUACCGGAGGCGAAGGCGACCGGCUGGCGAGACAUUGACGAUGAGGUGCGAAAGUGUGGGGAGCAAACAGG
rnacentral:rRNA from 1 species